rnacentral:rRNA from 1 species
GGUUUGGGAGGGGUUUACGAACUCCGCAUGGUGAAGGAAAGUGCCAAGAAAAGCUGGUAAUGUGAUGAAAGCAUCAUACCCGUACCCGAAACCGACACAGGUAGGGAGGUUGAGAAUACCAAGGGGCGCGAGAUAACUCUCUCUAAGGAACUCGGCAAAAUGGCCCCGUAACUUCGGAAGAAGGGGUGCCCACGAGAGUGGGUCGCAGUGAAGAGAUCCAGGCGACUGUUUACCAAAAACACAGGUCUCCGCUAACUCGAAAGAGGACGUAUGGGGGCUGACGCCUGCCCAGUGCCGGAAGGUUAAGGAAGUUGGUCAGGGGUUCGCCCUGAAGCUGACGACCGAAGCCCCGGUGAACGGCGGCCGUAACUAUAACGGUCCUAAGGUAGCGAAAUUCCUUGUCGGGUAAGUUCCGACCCGCACGAAAGGCGUAACGAUCUGGAUGGUGUCUCAGAGAGAGACUCGGCGAAAUAGGAAUGUCUGUGAAGAUACGGACUGCCUGCACCUGGACAGAAAGACCCUAUGAAGCUUUACUGUAGCCUGGAAUUGUGUUCGGGCUUGGCUUGCGCAGGAUAGGUGGGAAGCACAGAAGUACCCCUUGUGGGGGGUAUGGAGCUAACGGUGAGAUACCACUCUGGCGAAGCUAGAAUUCUAACCUAGCACCCUCAGCGGGUGUAGGAACAGUUUCAGGUGGGCAGUUUGACUGGGGCGGUCGCCUCCUAAAAGGUAACGGAGGCGCGCAAAGGUUCUCUCAGCACGCUUGGAAACCGUGCGGCGAGUGUAAAGGCAUAAAGAGAGCUUGACUGCAAGAGUGACAACUCAAGCAGGGACGAAAGUCGGCCUUAGUGAUCCGACGGCACAGAAUGGAAUGGCCGUCGCUCAACGGAUAAAAGUUACUCCAGGGAUAACAGGCUGAUCUCCCCCAAGAGUCCACAUCGACGGGGAGGUUUGGCACCUCGAUGUCGGCUCAUCGCAACCUGGGGCGGAAGUACGUCCCAAGGGUUGGGCUGUUCGCCCAUUAAAGCGGUACGUGAGCUGGUUUCAGAACGUCGUGAGACAGUUCGGUCCAUAUCCGGUGCAGGCGUAAGAGCAUUGAGAGGAGCCUUCCUUAGUACGAGAGGACCGGGAAGGACGCACCGCUGGUGUACCAGUUAUUCCACCAGGAGUAGACGCUGGGUAGCUAAGUGCGGAGCGGAUAACCGCUGAAAGCAUCUAAGUGGGAAGCCCACCUCAAGAUGAGUGCUCUCACUACUUAAGUAGGUAAGGUCACGGGCAGAACACCCGUUUAUAGGCUCUAAGUGGAAGUACAGCAAUGUAUGUAGCUGAGGAGUCCUAACAGACCGAGGGCUU